CUCUUCUCUCCUGCUGAAGCCAUGCCCACACAAGGGAAAGUGACUUAUCACUGGGCCCAGCACACAGGUGGAUGGUGACUCUAAGACCAGGAUUCAACACAACUAGAAGGCUUUGACUCUAAUACGAGUCACAGAAGGCUCUGCGACUCUUCUAUUUUCUCUAGGUUAUGCAAAUGGAGGUGGAUUGUGACAUAUCAUAGGGCCAACACAACACACAGUCUACAGGUGGAAUUGGGACUCUCAUGCAUGGAUCCAGUUCAUCAUUGAUACUGUGACUCAGGUGGGAUUUUGACAUAUAACUGCACCCAGCACACAGGUGAGAUUGUGACUCUUGUAUGCUCAUCCUGCCAAAAGUUGAGUGUCACCCUCACACAUGGACAGAGACUUCUGGUAAGGUCUUGAAUCUUGUACAUGGACACAGUCCACAGCUGGAAUGUCAUAUGUAGAUCCAGCCACAGGUGUGAUGUUGACCUAUUUAUAAAGUUAGCUCACAGGCACAUUGAUAACUCUCAUACCUGGAUCCAGCCAAUAAAAUAUAUGUUGACUAU
ensembl:lncRNA novel transcript